UUUCUCUUCUCUUCCCCUCAGUUGGAAAAAAAAAAAAAAGAAAGAAAAAGAAGAAAAAGAAGAAAAAAAUUGUCAAGCCCCCGAACUGAAGGUUACGAGCGGCCCGUCAGCAGCCCACAUGUAACCGAACUGUCGUGUUUCAUGGCUUUUUGCCACUCCAGCUGUCAAUCAAAGCCCGGAAUGUCAAGGACAAGAAGAGACCAGCUUAACUCAGAGAGCACUCCCUCCAAGCGGCGCGGACAAGGGCCAUCUCGGAGAGUCUUUGAGGGCCGCGGCGGAAUCGGGUGGGAGGAAAUGAGGGAGCCGUUUGGGUAUUUGAUGUCUGAUUUCGCUAAAGGUGUGUGUAUGUGUGUGUGUGCGCGCGCGCACUCGCGCGCACCACUGGUGUGCGCCUCCGAAGUGGAUCUCAGCGCUGGGAAGCACAGGAGGGAAAGACUGGGAGAAAGAGAGGGGGAGAGGAUUCCAAGCGAGGAAGAUUGGCCCUGCAUUCCCUGCCCAGCUUUGUUGUGGUCGCCCGGGGCACAGAGGCCCUGGCGCGGUAACGCCGGCUAAUGGCUGGGUUAAUUACACGGGGCAUUUUCACGGCAUCUGGAAGAUAGGGCUGACUCGGAAUGAACUUUUCCAAAAAGAGAAGGGAGUAGAGUGCAGGGGAGGUAAGGUAACUAUCCCACUCAGUUUGUGUAGAAAGUAGUUCUGGCCAGUGAAUCGCCCAAUCUCUGGCGGGAGCUGCAUCCAGCCUCACCUCCGCGUCGUGGGUUUCCCGGCGGCCGCGCGUCAAUCACUUCGAGCCCGAGCUGGGGGCGGAGCUACGGUCACCGAGCGCGCACUGCGCCGCAGACUCCGCGGCCCCUCGGCUCCCGGCAGUCCAGCAGCCCGGCCCUGCAUUCGGAGUGAGCCCUCUUCCAACUCCUCGCUCUCUACUGCGUUUAUGGUCCCCUGCCCAGAGAUCGAAAACAGACUGUUCUUCAACAGCCGCCUCCCUCUCCAACUUUGAACCCAUUCUGGAGGGUAGAAAGUAGAAUAUACUCCGCGCGUGGUUUCGGCCCGACUUCCCAGGGGAUGGGGACACAGCGAAAUAAAGUACUCUGUGUGUGUGUGUGUGUGUGUGUGUGUGUGUGUGUGUGUGUGUGAGAGAGAGAGAGAGAGAGAGAGAGAGAGAGAGAGAGAGAGAGAGAGAAUAUGAAUGAAAGAAGGGCGGAUGGGGGGGCUUUUGCGGAAAGCUCUCUUUCCGUCUUCUCAACUUCACUGUAAGCUUCUUUCAGGCUACACUCAACUAGGCUUAGAUCGCAGCCUGCAGAGACUCCAAGUGGAGUUGGAGAAAUUUGGCUCCGUUUUAAUAGGGCUGGGAGAUGAGCUCCGGAGGUCAAUAAAGCCCUCCAAAAAUGAUGAAUGAUUGAACACCUGUGAUGAUGAUAGUGAUUACCAGAGCAAUUAAACAGUUUGAUUAAAUGAGCCAUCAUAACAAUGAUGUCUGCGGGAAAUCGGCUCUCACAUAUAAAGAUAGUGCGGAGGGCCUGGCAGAAGCGAGGGUACUGCGAUGCCAGGGAGCAGGGCUGCGGACUGCGAAGUAUUUGCCAGGGUGGCCCGAGCAGGGACAGUCGGGCGCGCGGAGCUUCAGGGAGAAAAAUCUAGCCCAGGUUUUCAGCCACUCUUAGAGCCGGCUUGAAGCCUGCAAGAGCCGACGGGUAUGAAACCUGCAGGUUGAGGAGAAGUGUCCUUCUCCCUCCUCCUCAUUUUUUUUUUUUUUCCCUAGAAGAACUCCAAGAUUAAAAGCAUCCUUCUUAUUUGUUGCUGGGUUGCUGGUCGACAUAUAUGUGUGUGUAUAUGUGUGUGUGUGUGUACAUACAUAUAUGUGUGUGCGUGUGUAUAUAAAUAUAUAUAUAUUUUAAGGUGAGUAACAAAGAAAGGAAGAGCUUCCAGAAUUUUAUUUCAAGCGGCAGUUAAGUGAAUUCAGUUUAGCCGGCGUAAAGGAUGGGAGCGGGGUCGGGUGGGGGACCAAUCGGGUCUUGCUGUGGAGCGUUUUCGACUUUGCAGAGGUCUUGAUAUUGGUGGACCCAAGUUCCCCGUGCAGCGCCGCUAGCUGAGAAAUUUAUACUCAGUUUUUCAGUUUUUAUUUUUCUAAUUGUUGCUUUUCUCAAUAUUGCGUGUUUAUUGUUGCCAAUGGGAUUAUUGUUUUAAAUGUCCUGUAUAGUAAGAGCUAAUUACUUCUCUUUUUAAAAAGAAACCCCGUUUCCUUGAUAAACGCUCCUUCUGUAAAGAUCAACUUUUAACCGAACCUCUGCAUCACAGAGUUUAAAGGUUCGACAUUACUAUCGCCUGCUUCUUUUACCACCGCUUCUUUUUUUCAUAGUGAUACUGUGGAGUUAGCAUCUCUACAGCUUCUAUUUCGAAAAAUUGCACUAGUGUUUUUUUUAAAGACUAUUUCUUCCGAAGCAGUGCAUCCGUGUAAAAACAAUUCAGACCGAUAGAUGAUUUCUAUAUUUUCAAACAGUUAUUAAGCUAAUAAUAGGUUGAUCACUCCGUGAUAAUUUUGGGUUUUACAAAAGAAAAAAUGUUUAAAAUCUACUCUCAUGUGUUUUCAUUCUUUGGGCGAUGCAGAAGGCAUUUUAACCUGAACUCCUUCUCCCUCUCUUUCUCUUUUUCUCUCAUAUUCUGUAACUUCUUUUCCAUUUUAUUGAAUAUAGUAAAGCAAACAACAAGGACAAUCUGGUUUGAGGAAAGAUAGGACAUUUUAAGAUACUAUUAAAGAAACAAACAAACAAAAAAGCCAA